AUAUAACAAAUCUCAAUGUAUGAAUUUAAACAUAGAAAAACAACUUCAAAAAUCUGAAAAAAUUCUUAACUCAUGGAAAAAAAGAAAGCUAACAAUGAUCGGAAAAGUAACUGUCGUGAAAUCUCUAGUUAUACCAAAUAUAACAUAUUUAGCUUCUGUAACUGAUAUCGACAAAGAUUCACUAUUUAAGUUUAAAAAAAUGAUUUAUGAAUUCAUUUGGGACCAUAAAAAAGAAAAAAUUAAAAGAAAAACAAUUAACAUGAAAAAAACUGAAGGAGGACUUGGAAUGAUAGAUAUUGACAAGUUUAUUGAU
rnacentral:lncRNA from 1 species